rnacentral:ncRNA from 1 species
UAAAAAGAUUAUAUUUUAGGUGUUUCAUGGGAAACUUAAAUGGGAAAGCGGUGAAACUCCGCUGCAGCCCCCGCUACUGUAAGUGAGGAUGAAAUCGACAAUAGCCACUAAUUUAUUUUGGGAAGGCGUCGAAAGUAAAGUGAUCCACAAGUCAGGAGACCGGCCUAAAAUUUGCAGCAGAC